AACGAACGCUGGCGGCGUGCCUAACACAUGCAAGUCGCACGAGAAAGUUCUUCGGAACGAGUAAAGUGGCGCACGGGUGAGUAAUCCAUAGGAACGUGUCUUUAGGAGGGGAAUAACAACGGGAAACCGUUGCUAAUACCGCAUAAUCAGGUAACUGCAAAGACGGCCUCUAUUUAUAAGCUGUCACCUAAAGAGCGGCCUAUGUCCCAUUAGCUAGUUGGUGGGGUAAAAGCCUACCAAGGCAACGAUGGGUAGCUGGUCUGAGAGGACGAUCAGCCACACUGGAACUGAGACACGGUCCAGACUCCUACGGGAGGCAGCAGUGGGGAUAUUGCACAAUGGGCGCAAGCCUGAUGCAGCAACGCCGCGUGAGUGAAGAAGGCCUCGGUUGUAA
rnacentral:rRNA from 1 species